rnacentral:rRNA from 1 species
GACGAACGCUUGCUUCGUGCUUAACACAUGCAAGUCGAACGGAAAGGCCCUGCUUGCAGGGUACUCGAGUGGCGAACGGGUGAGUAACACGUGGGUGAUCUGCCCUGCACUUCGGGAUAAGCCUGGGAAACUGGGUCUAAUACCGGAUAGGAGCCAUUUUUAGUGUGAUGGUUGGAAAGUUUUUUCGGUGUAGGAUGAGCUCGCGGCCUAUCAGCUUGUUGGUGGGGUAAUGGCCUACCAAGGCGGCGACGGGUAGCCGGCCUGAGAGGGUGGACGGCCACAUUGGGACUGAGAUACGGCCCAGACUCCUACGGGAGGCAGCAGUGGGGAAUAUUGCACAAUGGGCGCAAGCCUGAUGCAGCGACGCCGCGUGGGGGAUGACGGCCUUCGGGUUGUAAACUCCUUUCGCUAGGGACGAAGCUUUUUGUGACGGUACCUAGAUAAGAAGCACCGGCUAACUACGUG